GACGGACCGUACGAACGUUAUUCGGAAUUACUGGGCUUAAAGGGUGCGUAGGCGGCUCAGAAAGUUGAAUGUGAAAGCCCUCGGCUUAACCGAGGAAUUGCAUCCAAAACUACUGGGCUUGAGUGAGAUAGAGGUGAGUGGAACUCACGGUGGAGCGGUGAAAUGCGUUGAUAUCGUGAGGAACACCGGUGGCGAAAGCGGCUCACUGGAUCUUUGCUGACGCUGAGGCACGAAAGCUAGGGUA
rnacentral:rRNA from 1 species